rnacentral:rRNA from 1 species
UGGGGAAUUUUUCGCAAUGAGCGCAAGCUUGACGAAGCAAUACCGCGUGAAGGAUGAAGGUCUAUGGAUUGUAAACUUCUUUUGUCAGAGAAGAAAUUAAUGACGGUAUCUGAAGAAUAAGUAUCGGCUAAUUCCGUGCCAGCAGCCGCGGUAAUACGGGGGAUGCGAGCGUUAUCCGGAUUUAUUGGGCGUAAAGGGUUUGUAGACGGUUUAGUAAGUUUUUUGUUAAAUAUUAAAGCUUAACUUUUGUUUUACAUUAAAUACUACUGGACUUGAGUAGGAUAGAGGUAAAGGGAAUUCUCAGUGUAGUAGUGAAAUAUGUUGAUAUUGGGAAGAACACCGAUGGCGAAAGCACUUUACUAGGUUUUUACUGACGUUGAGAAACGAAAGCUAGGGGAGCAAACU